UCCCUGUGCUAAGUAGAUAUAGGAAGAUGUGGUAAGAGUGCCAAUGAGACAACUCUCCAUCCAAGUAACAAUUUAUAAAAGUAAACCAUUAUAGGUCAAGGUACGGCCUUCAACAAGGGGCCUUGGUUUAUUGACUUGGGAAAAACAUAUUUGGUUUAAGCAAGGCAUCUCAGUUUUCUCCACAUAAAAAAUGAGGCUUUUAUCUCCAUAAAAUAAACAAAACUCUAGUUUAAUUAUUACCUGUUUUAUUACAUAUCACAGUUGAUAAUGGUUUCAUAACAAGGAGGAUUACAUCCCCUUUAAUCAAGUCUACAAAAAUGAAUUGUCUCCCCUUAUUUCAAUUCUACAUGAGAGGAUUGUCUCCCCUUAUAUCUAUUCUACAUGAGAGAAUUGGCUCACCCUUGUGUCAAUUCUAAUGAGCAGGUUUAACUAUCGCUGAGGGGGUAAUACAACAAAAACAUCAAUGUUAUUGUUAGCUUGAUGAGAGAACGUAAAAGAUUAGUAUACAAUAAACCUACUAUUACAUUUUAAAAACAUUUUGUUUUAUCUAAGAGAGUGACAUUUCAAAUGUAGAAAGGUAUUUAUUUUUAAUUCUUUGUUUAGAAAAAAAUAUGACACUUAAAAAGAGUUAUUGAUUAAAAUUAAAAUAGAAACUUUUCAAUCUAGUUCUGUGUAAGUAUAUUUCUUUUUUAUAUGCGAUGAAACUAAAGUGGUGCUUUUAACAACAUAAUUUCAAAGGUUUAAAUGCAUGCACGCAGAGUCUAUUUUUAAUUGUUAUAUAUAUGGUUGUGAUCAUUUUAAAGAAAAACUUAGACAUGAUUAUCUUCACUUGGCACAUUUCUAUCAUUAUUAUGGUCCCUUGACACAAUAACAUUAUCUUCGAGUGACACAAUCUUAUCGUGAACAGGAAGACAACAUAUAUAUUUUCCAAACAUAAUAAUUUACAUACAAUCUAUUAUUAACAAAGAAGAAACAUUAUAGGAAGUUUUGUUCUCAAGAUAAAAAUUAUGAACAAUAUUUUCACAUAAAGGCAUUUAAAAACAUAAAAUUAUAUCUUUCAUUACUUUUCAUAAGUAACAAAUUUAUAUAAAGCCCCUAAUCAUCCAAACGUUUAUUUUCCCAAAAUACAUAUAUGGUGACAGAACAGUAUUUCUAAAUGCAGAUCAUAUUGUGUACAACAUAUAAAAAUAUAAUUAUAUAUCUAUUGCUACUGUAUCCUACUAUCUUCAAAUCUUUUUAGGUGUAAUACCACCAAAUCAUGGAAUGUCACAUCUGGUUGUAAAAAUAAAUCCAAAAAAAAUAUUCCCUUGAAUUUGACAGUUUUAAGUAAUUAGUCCUACUUUUUAUUACAGUAAAACAUUUCUGUGUCAUAAACAUAUGUCUUGGGUAUUUCAAAACACCAUUAUUCUUUUAUUUGGGAUUUCUAUAGAAUAUUUUGUAAUCUUGAGGUUACAUGGUGACUGAACCUUGUUAACAUAGAUAAAACAAGGGAAGAAAUUUGAUUGGUUAACUUCCAAUGAUGGUUAUUUUCUUAUAUGCAAUGAAAUGUUAUGUGCAUUUUUUUCUAUAGUACUGGACAGGAUAAAACUUUACUCACGCAAAGUACUUCUUUAUUUGAAACAAAGAUAAAUUCUUCACAUUUUUUUAAAAGUGCAAAUUUAACAAAGACUAAUAGGGGAAAUCAAUGGUGGUAUUACACCUAUAUAUAGUCACAGGCCUGCAGACUAUCCUGAUUUGUGGAGGUUAUCCCCAAUAAGAGGUGUUGACCUGAAUUUUCAAAAUUCUUUAUUAUAUAAACUGAACAGCUCAAAACAGGCAUUCAAAUGAGUUAAAAGGGCAUUCACGUACAUUCUCAUACAAAGGAUGUAGUUGUAUAUUAAACACUCUUCUUACAAUAUUUGAUGAGCAUUAGGUCCUCUUGCAUUUAAAAUUCCCCUUGAAGAUUUUGAAAUGUUGUCAAGUAUCAUAGAUUAAAAAGACAAUAAUUAAAUUAAUCAAUGUUAUUACAGCUACCAGAGGAUCAAUUGGGUGUAUAUUACCAAUAUCUACAUGAUCUAUGCAUAUUACUUGAAAAUCAGCCCUAUCAAAACUAUGUAUGUAUGUACAUGUACUAGUAAAUGCCUCCAAUAUCCGAAGAACCCCUCGAAAGCUGCGAGGGUACAGUGGCAUCCUUGUACACUCCCUGUCGGGAUUAAUGGAGAUGUGUCACUAACGUAUAUUUAUACGACAAUUAUUUUUACAAGAACAAUCAAUCCCCACCCAACACAAAAGGAGUGUUGGGACACUGGGAAGUCUGUUAUUAUUGUGGAGGAAGCUGAAGUACCGCUCUGGGUAAAAGAGAUGUGUGUGAGAGAGUGAAAAUUACCCUCCAUGCAGUAAUUUGUUAUGAGGUCAAAUUUAUGUCAACCAUUUCAAUUUUUUAUUGAUAGAUGAUUAGUUGUUAUUUCCAGUGGGAAAAUAUUUCAUGCAUAAUUAGGACAAAAUACCUUAUACAAUAAACCACAUAAUUGAUUUGGAAAAGGGUUAAACGGUAUAAAAAUCAGGUAAUUUUGACAGUUUAUAGAGCAAAAG
rnacentral:lncRNA from 1 species